UCUGAAGGAUGAGCAAAGGAAGUAGUUUCUUGAGAUGGAAUCUACUUCUGGUGAAGAUGCUGUAAA
rnacentral:pre_miRNA from 1 species